rnacentral:rRNA from 1 species
UACGUAGGGGGCGAGCGUUGUCCGGAUUUAUUGGGCGUAAAGAGCGUGUAGGCGCCAGGUAGGUGGUUGUGAAACUGGAGGCUCAACCUUCAGAGGUCGACCCAAACCCCCUGGCUAGAGUCCGGAAGAGGAGAGUGGAAUUCCUGGUGUAGCGGUGAAAUGCGCAGAUAUCAGGAAGAACACCCGUGGCGAAGGCGGCUCCUCGUGGGACGGUACUGACGCUGAAGACGCGAAAGCGUGGGGAGCGAACAGG